CGGUUGGUCGGUGCGGCUCUAGGAAGAAAGUUAAUCGCAGGUGGAGAUUGUAUGCUACUGACACUCGCGUUUUGGAAAGCGGCACGGUGGAUAGAAGUAAUGCUAAUUCUCAGCUUCCCACAGUUCCCUCUAUUGAAAUCCCAGUCACUUGCUACCAGAUCAUCGGUGUCUCAGACCGAGCUGAGAAGGAUGAAAUUGUCAAGUCGGUAAUGCAUCUCAAGAAUGCUGAG
rnacentral:misc_RNA from 1 species